AGUGAACGCUGGCGGUAGGCCUAACACAUGCAAGUCGAACGGCAGCACAGUAAGAGCUUGCUCUUACGGGUGGCGGGUGGCGGACGGGUGAGGAAUACAUCGGAAUCUACUUUUUCGUGGGGGAUAACGUAGGGAAACUUACGCUAAUACCGCAUACGACCUACGGGUGAAAGCAGGGGAUCUUCGGACCUUGCGCGAUUGAAUGAGCCGAUGUCGGAUUAGCUAGUUGGCGGGGUAAAGGCCCACCAAGGCGACGAUCCGUAGCUGGUCUGAGAGGAUGAUCAGCCACACUGGAACUGAGACACGGUCCAGACUCCUACGGGAGGCAGCAGUGGGGAAUAUUGGACAAUGGGCGCAAGCCUGAUCCAGCCAUACCGCGUGGGUGAAGAAGGCCUUCGGGUUGUAAAGCCCUUUUGUUGGGAAAGAAAAGCAGCAGGUUAAUACCCCGCUGUUCUGACGGUACCCAAAGAAUAAGCACCGGCUAACUUCGU
rnacentral:rRNA from 1 species